GGCCGGGAGGCAGCCAAAUGGCGACGCGCGCCUCCACUCCGGUCCUCCGGGAACCUGCGCUGCGCACACACCGCAUGCCUCCAGGCGUCGCCGGCUGAGUGAUGCAGGCCGGGAUUACAAUCAAUUGCAGCAAAAGAAGAAGAAAAAGCUGGGACAGAUCUCAUAUUGUAGAGAGCGUGCGUGCGUGUGCGCAUUUGUGGAGGGCGAUGAGCUUGAUCGGGUCGCAAUGCCGGGCGGCGGGUCGAGGUUGGUUCGACGUCCGCGGUUAGUUAAGGGACCGACUGUCAGCGUCCCUGAUUCAGGGAGAAGCGGCAACGACUCGAGCAUCGACAAGGCAGCCAGCGUGGCUUCGGAAAGGGAAGAGGGAACCAAUCAGGGCCAAGACCGCGUCAUCAGGCGUCCACCUAGGAUCAGGCACCCCAAACCGCAGGUUUGUGGGCCCGGAGUGGGUGAAUCCUUCUUAAGGCCAAGUGGAGCCAGAGAGGAGCCAUCCAGUGGGAUCAGGCACCGGCACGGCAUCCCUUUUUGCUUUUGCUUUCUUCUUUCCCUUCCCACAAGACAAAGUGUAACUCUGUAAGCUACCCUGUGAGCGUGAGAAUUCAGAUCGAGAUC